GACGAACGCUGGCGGCGUGCCUAAUACAUGCAAGUAGGGCGCAGUUGCGAACGGGUGAGUAACGCGUAGGUCACUACCUGUUAGAGGGGGAGAACUAUUAGAAACGAUAGCAAAUACCGCAUACUAGUAGAUGGACCUGCGGUGUAUUAGCUGGUAGGUAGGGUAAUGACCUACCUAAGGAACGAAACAUAGCCGAACUGGGAGGGUCAUCGGACAGACUUGGACCUGGACACGGCCCCGACUCCGACCGUAGGCAGCAGUAGGGAAUCUUCGGCAAUGGGGGGAAGCCUGACCGAGCAAAGGCGCGUGAGUGAAGAAGGUUUUCGGAUCGUAAAGCUCUGUUGUUAAAGAAGCGGUACUUAACCAGAAAGGGACGGCUAACUACGUGCCAGCAGCCGCGGUAAUUC
rnacentral:rRNA from 1 species